CCGGAAGCGCCGCGCGCCGCGGCGGCUGUGGGGCGCAGGACAGUGACGUCACGGCGCGCGGCGUCCUGGGAAGCGGAGAGUCCCGGGAGGGGUAGAACGUCCAAGAAUGGGGAGGGCGCGGGAGGGCCCGGAGACGGUGUGCGUCCGGUUUGCGGUCGCGUGUCUCCCGGGUCCCAGACUUGUCGAGAUAACUGCACUCCUUGUAGGAACAGCGGUUACAACUGCGGCGACCUCUAGAGGGAGAGUCAUUAAUGGAGGGAGGAGGCCGGGGUCGUCAGCCUUCAGAACAAAGCUGACCCGGUAGCGUUGCUGGGCAACGGCCGGGGAGCGGCGGGCGCUGCGCGUCACGUGGGCACAGUGACUUCAUCGCUGCGGGCGGGAGGGGAGGUGGGGUGGGGGCGCAGCUUCCGUCCGCCGCCGUGUGGGUGUGGGCGCGGGCGGGUCCGGCCGAAAAGCGUCGGGGCCGGGGAGGACGUGGGCCCCUCCGAGCGCCGCAGCCCGUUCGGCCUCCGCGAAGGGUGUCCCCGCGGCCCGGCGCAGCUCGGAACGACCCGCCGCCCCUCUGCUCUCGCGGGGCAGGCCUGCUCUGCCCGGCGGGUCGCAUCUCGGGCUUGGGUUCGGAGCCGAGGUCUCACUUCUUGGGUGUAUUUGAACUAUCUUAGAAUGAGCGGCAGACAGGAUGCUAUGGUGUCCGGGGGCGCCCUCGUCGCAGGCACUGGCACGAAGACUCCUGGCUGCACCCCGUUUGCGGAUCUGUCUCAGCGUGAUGCUCUGGUCACGAUUCCCAGCUGGCGUCCAUCGAAACCUCCAGCGACAUCUUGGUUUGCUCGUGUACAAACUGAAGAGAUUGCCUCAUCCGGGCUGGCAGAAGGCCCACACCUGCUGUCUUUCUGGGCAUUUUUGUCUCCUGUGAGGUAGAAAAUCAAUUCCUUGCUCCGGUGUGGAGUUCCAGGCAGUUUCUAGCCUUGGGGCUUCUCAGUCAAUGCUCUCCAGGAUUUGAAGCUGCUCUUGGCCUUAAAACAAGCUCUUGGGCACUCCCAGAGGCUGGCAGACAGCUUCACUUGUCAGCCCCGUGUAGCCUGUGCUCACCAGCACUGCUGGGGGCCUUGGGAGCCCCAGGAGAGGUGUAGUCCCUCCUGGAAAGACUCCAGCCUCCACUGCCCAGCACUUGGUGACGGCGAGCGGCUUCCCUCCAGCUUCCCAGCCGUCAGCCUGCUCCCUCAGUGGCCCAUGAGCUCCAGAGCAACUUCCCCCUCCUUGCCGAUGUUUGUCCUGGGUGUGUGGAUGUCUCCCUUAGGCUGCCCGUUCUUUGAAGACACGGUGUUGAGUUGAGAGCACACGCACAUUAAACCCAGAAGUACUUUUUCUCUUUGGGGGAAAGUAUGUUUGUCAGACGAGAGAGAUGAAACCCGCAACAGAAUAACCUUAAAAGAAAAAGUAUCCCAGGGUGCCUGGCUGUCUUGGUCGGUAGAGCAUGUGACUCUUGGCCUCACAAGUUGUGAGUUCAAGCCCCAUGUUGGCCCUGGAGCCUACUUAAAAAAGUAAAAUAAUUGGGGCACCUGGGUGGUUCAGUGGGUUAAGUGUCUGACUCUGAUUUCAGAUCAGGUCUUGAUCUCAGGGUUGUGAGUUCAAGCCCUGCAGUGGGCUCCACGGUGGGCGUAGAGUGAACUUAAAAAAUUGAAUUAAGGGGCACCUGGGUGUUUCAGUGGGUUAAAGCCUCUGCCUUCGGCUCAGGUCAUGAUCCCAGGGUCCUGGGAUCGAGUCCUGCAUCGGGCUCUCUGCUCAGCAAGGAGCCUGCUUCCCUCUCUCUGUCUCUCUCUGCCUGCCUCUCUGCCUACUUGUGAUCUCUGUCUUUCAAAUAAAUAAAUAAAAUCUUUUAAAAAAAUUAAAUUAAAAAUAAAAUUUUAAAAAGGGAACAGGAUUCCUAGAAAUAGAACAGUCAGAAGUUGUAGUCACUGGUUAGGCAUAAGCAGGUCUGGGGAGGCCGUGACUAGGGUCACUCUUGCCUCAAAUGGAGGGCAGCCUCUCCUGGGGGACAACAGGGUGUGACGAGCCCCCUCCCAGCUGCUCGGGGACAUGUUUGACCUUUUCCAGUGACCCUGCAUGACCUGAGGUCUCCACAGAGCCAGACAGCAGCUGUCUUUUCUGGCUGCUUGUUCCAUCCAGAAUAUCUUAGGGUUUUGCCCUCGCUCCAGAGCUUCCUGGGAAGUUUGCUUCUGCCUCUCUUGCCCCUUCCAGAAGGUUGUCUGGCUGAGCCCUUGUCCCCUGCCCGGUGAGUCCGUGUGCCCUCGCUCAGCUAGCCUCCCUUAGGCUGGUGAUGCCCGGGCCUCCGCUGCACACAGAGCAAGGCCACAUGGUUGAGGGACCCAGGGGUGGAGAUUGAAACUGGCCCUGUGACCAGGGGUUACAGUCUGAGCUGCCCGUUCGAGCUGACGGUUUCACUCCAUGAACAAGCGCAUGCGCUUGCACAGGGACGUGGGCAGAUAUAGAAGCAUACACCUGUGGACACACAGAUGUGGGUGCGUGUCUGCGUGUUUCCUCAAAGCAGUGACACCCCAGCCGCAGUGGGCACACUGAGCACCACAUCUCAGUCUCUCAAUUCUGUUCUCUGCUGGAAGGAACCAGAGCUGCUCCAAGAAAGGCCUGGCUCCGGUAUGGGGCGGAGUAAGUGCAGGCUGAGCCUGGAGAACUGGUGGCAGCACGUGCUCAGAAUGCGAGGGGGCGCCCCAAACAGUCCCUCGGGCAGGCUAGGUCUGGGACCGCGUAAGCAUCAGAGAACGACAGCCACAGACUAGCCAGCCACAGACUAGCCGGUGCCUAAGAUCAGAAUCCCCUGUGCACUUCCUGAUGCGAAUGGGAGAAGGAAAGCCUGUCCCUACCGGAAAAAGGUCACUGAUAAGGAAGAGAAGAUGAAAUUUGAGAAACAUUUAGUGGCCAACAGGGUAACAAUGGACAAAAAAAUACCCAGGAGAUGUUGAGCCUGGCGGGUAGAGCUUGCUGAGUGGCUCAGGUGUGUGCCUGGUCCCAGUGCAGGUCCACACCGGACAUACCUGCUGCCCCACUGCAUCCCUAGGUCCUCCCGCCGUGGUUCCCCUGAGCAUUCCCACCAAGAAUGUCUGUCAUGUAACCAUACUGUUUGAAUUUCCUGGCUGUGACCGUGAACAAUGGCUGUAGCCACAGGGAAACAUUGGAAAGUGCAAAGAGCUUUGGGGCUGCAGUUUAUAGAAACAUGCACAUGGGCAGAGUGACGGAGCAUCAGGAGACAGUGUCAGCUGUGGGACAGUGGGCGGGGCCUAUGCAGGAAUUCCCACCUGGCUUCUCUCCUGGAGCUCUCUGCAGGUAUAGCUGAACAAUUCAGUUGGCAAUGUGUGUUUUUUUUUUUUUUUUUUUAAGAUUUUAUUUACUCAUUUGAGAGGGAGUGCACAAGCAAGGGAAGCAGCAGCAGCAGAAGGAGAAGGAGACUCCCUGCCAAGCAGGGAGCCGGAUGCGGGACUCGAUCCCUGGACCCUGAGAUCAUGACCUGAGCCGAAUGCAGACACUGAACCCACUGAGCUCCCCAGCAUCCCGGGUUUUAUUACAAUAGUAUUAAGAACAAACGAAUGAUAAAAAGAAAACCAGGUAUAUGAACUAAUGUUAACAAUACUUGAUGGGGGGGCACCUGGGUGGCUCAGUGAGUUAAGCCUCUGCCUUCGGCUCAGGUCAUGAUCCUGGGGUCCUGGGAUCGAGCCCUGCAUUGGGCUCUCUGCUCAGUGGGGAGCCUGCUUCCUCCUUUCUCUCUCUGCCUGCCUCUCUGCCUACUUGUGAUCUCUGUCAAAUAAAUAAAUAAAUCUUAAAAAAAAAAAUCAAAACUUGAUAGGGGCGCCUGGGUGGCUCAGUGGGUUAAGCCUCUGCCUCCAGCUCCAGUUGUGAUCUCAGGGUCCUGGGAUUGAGCCCCACUGUUCAGCAGGGACCCUGCUUCCCCCUCUCUCUGUGCCUGCCUCUCUGCCUACUUGUGAUCUUUGUCAGAUAAAUAAAUAAAAUAUAUUUUUUUAAAAAGUUCUGGAAUGGGGCGCCUGGGUGGCUCAGUGGGUUGAGCCUCUGCCUUCGGCUCAGGUCAUGAUCCCAGGGGCCUGGGAUCGAGUCCCGCAUGGGGCUCUCUGCUCAGCAGGGAGCCUGCUUCUCCUCAUCUCUCUCUCUGUCUGUCUCUCUGCCUAUUUNNNNNNNNNNNN
rnacentral:lncRNA from 1 species